rnacentral:rRNA from 1 species
AACGAACGCUGGCGGCAUGCCUAACACAUGCAAGUCGAACGAGACCUUCGGGUCUAGUGGCGCACGGGUGCGUAACGCGUGGGAACCUGCCCUUAGGUUCGGAAUAACUCCCCGAAAGGGGUGCUAAUACCGGAUAAUGCCUUCGGACCAAAGAUUUAUCGCCUUUGGAUGGGCCCGCGUUGGAUUAGCUAGUUGGUAGGGUAAAAGCCUACCAAGGCGACGAUCCAUAGCUGGUCUGAGAGGAUGAUCAGCCACACUGAGACUGAGACACGGCCCAGACUCCUACGGGAGGCAGCAGUGGGGAAUAUUGGACAAUGGGCGAAAGCCUGAUCCAGCAAUGCCGCGUGAGUGAUGAAGGCCUUAGGGUUGUAAAGCUCUUUUACCCGGGAUGAUAAUGACAGUACCGGGAGAAUAAGCUCCGGCUAACUCCGUG